UAUAUGUAUUUUUAAUACGAUUAGAAAAAAUAUAUAAAUUUAUAAUUAUAUUUUGAAUUUAAAUAUAUUUUAGGUGAAAUUAUUGAUUAUAAUCCAAUAUUAUAAUAUAAUAUUAAAACAAUAUACAUAUUACAUUUUAUAAAAUGAUUUUUUUUAACUCAAUUUUUUUAAAGAGACGAUAAGAAUUUAUCAAAAAAUUAGUAAAUUAUUAAUAUCUUACGAAUACAUUACAUAGUCUGACACAUAGUAUAACAUGAUAUAUUUUUUACAUAUUAAUUAAAUAUUUUAAUUUAUUUUACCAUAAAAAUCUGCAGUCUAGUUAUAUAGCAUUGCUUAAAUAUUAGUCACGAUUUAUUUUUUUGUAGCUAUAUCGGAUAUCUUUGAUUCGAUAUCUGACACGCUUCCCUUCGCGACAUUGCUUUCGAUGGAAAAUUUAAUCGCUCGAUUCCGAUCGAACGUUUCAACGAUUGGAUAUUUAUUUGACAUAUAGGAAGGAGAUGGUUUCACUGAUUAGAAAUAGUAGCAUCGAUUCGACCUAUCGUUUAAUCGUUUCAAUCCUCGUUUCGUGGGAAAACGAAUCACGAAUCGUUUCUCAUUCGAUGAUUUUGCACGCUUGGGGAAUGGGGAAUGUCCGAUAUUCGAGUCUAUGACGACAAGGAUCCCAUCGAUUAAAAUCAUCAAAUGAAUUUGUCGCUUCAUCGUGAAUCAUGCGUCACAGUACUGCACCACGACACGACACGAUGUAUAUUCGUGUCUCGUCCUCCUCGUUUGCAAGUCACGAGCUCGAAUGAAAACAAACGGUAGGCUUCGUCCUCAUCUUUAGCCAAUGCGUUUCCGGAAUCAGGCCUCUGAUUUUCCAUCGUUCGAUUGAAACAGUCGAUCACAUAACACGUAUCAAGUAAGCAUCAUUGAUCUCGAUUAAUCGGAAUUAACGAUGGGUACCAAUUUACCGAAUUGACACGCCGACUGCCACGGUUCACCACAUUGAGACGUUGCGCGAAUACGAUGUAACAAAAGGUCGUAUUUAAUAAAAAAAAAAUUUAAGCUGACUCGUUAUUUUAAGUUAAAUCUGAAAAUUUAACGAAUCAAAUUAUUACAUUACAUGAUUUAAGAAAAGAGAAAUAGCUUUGAGUCGUCGUCGAAUGAAUGACAGUUACUGGGGAGCUGACUGGUAUUGAAUAUCGGAGAAAGAUGGAAAUAAAUUUUUUAUCGAGCUGCAGGAAAUAUGUUCAAUUGUUAGAAGAACAAUCAGGCAAGCGUGCAUGACAGGUGAGAAUCAUAUUUUUCAACAAUGAUGUGAUUCAUACUGUAAAAUCAAUACAACGAAUUUUGAAAAAUAUGAAAGUUUUGGAAUGCCUUACUUAUUUAUCCGAUUUAAAUAUCGAAAAUUUUUAGUUUCUUAAUGAGAAUAUAUAUGUGAAUAAUUUUGUAAUAUGAAUGAAUUAAAUGUAUAUAAAAUUCAAAUAUAAUAUAAAAUCAAUUCAAAAGAAUUAUAUAUCGAAUAAUUUGAAAGAUGUUAAAAGAAAGAUUUAUCGAAUAUUAAUACAAUAUUUC